GGUGCUAGUGAUUGUGGCUGACUUUCCGACAGCAUUUUACCUGCAUUGCUCUGUACCCAAACAAAGUUGUUAAAUGUAACGUGAACAAGUAUUCUUACUAAAAUAAGCUUUCGUAUCAAACCCGUCGUCCCGAGUAAUUACUUUGACGUUAGUUAAUCUACAAUUUUGGUGCCGAAACCCGGGAUAUGAGCUGCGACGAAGAAGUGGCUGAAAUGGAGGAGGAACGUCGGCAUGAAGCAGAAAGAAUGAGACGAAAGCGGGGUACCAUUCAAGGCGCAACAACGCGGAUUUUGAAUCAGAUUGACGUGGAAAUAUCCCAGUCAAAUCCGGAUACCGAUCACUUGAGUACAUUGUUGGAAUUGUUAUCAGCUAAGGAGGACAGUUUGUUUGAACUCGAUCGUGGGAUUGAACAGUUAACGCCAAUGGACGGAUUGGAGGCAGAGAUUGCAUGCACGGAGGAUUAUAAAGACGCAUUAUCAUGCUGAAGAGCCGUGCACAAAGAGUGAUAACGAAGAAACAGGACGUCAAUCCACUACCAGCCCGGGACUCAGACUUUGACUCAACGGGAGGUUUGCUGGGGGCCACCAUAGGGAGAGUGAAGCAGCUUUCCAGGGGAAGCCAGACCAAGCUCCUGUGCUACAUGCUGUUCUUCUGCUUCUUGGUCUUCACCAUCCUUUACUGGUUUAUAAAACUGAGGUGAUGUGUUACAGGAGGCCCCGGCUUUUCCCUCCCUGCCUCGUGUUUCCUUUCCCAGUCUGUGCCAUGCGUGCACCUCUGCAUCAGAAGACCAGGAUGAUGACAAUGAGACUGUAAGAAUGUGCUUAAUGUUUGAGAAGACUCCCACCAAAUCAUCAAUGACAAUGUGCAAUAGGGAAUAAUAAAAAAUGUCUUAAUUUUAGACAACCCUGAUGGAAUGAGUAGACACUGCCAUACGUUUGUAAUGUGACACUUUCGUACAGAGUCCCUUAACGAUGAUGCAUAUAAGUUGAUGUACAGGAUGAGUGAUCUAUUGCAUCAACAAAUCUGGCAAGGCUAAGCAGUAACGUGUUACACAGGCAGCCCAAUUCUGAUCUUUUUCCCCCCAAUCACAUUUUUCAGAGCUGAUUAGUGAAAAAAGAUUGGAAUUGGGUUCGCUGUCAGAGGUUGCUUGAUCCAAUGUGAGACUGAUUUAACAUUUGAUCAAUAGUGUCCAACAAUUGAGUUCCACUAUAAACAAACAUCUUGUUUUUGUUUUGAGGAAUAAAUUAGGGUGUGCGCUCACUUCAAACAUUUCCUGUCCCAUCUACAGAGACUGUUCAUCUCCACUGCACACUGUUCUCCCGUUAACUGAUGUAAAAUGUUUUAUGUAAAUAAACAUGGAUGUUUUGGAUUUGA